ACGAACGCUGGCGGCGUGCUUAACACAUGCCAGUCGCACGGAAAGGCCCUGCUUUUGUGGGGUGCUCGCGUGGCGAACGGGUGAGUAACACGUGAGUAACCUGCCCUUGACUUUGGGAUAACUUCAGGAAACUGGGGCUAAUACCGGAUAGGAGCUCCUGCUGCAUGGUGGGGGUUGGAAAGUUUCGGCGGUUGGGGAUGGACUCGCGGCUUAUAAGCUUGUUGGUGGGGUAGUGGCUUACCAAGGCUUUGACGGGUAGCCGGCCUGAGAGGGUGACCGGCCACAUUGGGACUGAGAUACGGCCCAGACUCCUACGGGAGGCAGCAGUGGGGAAUAUUGCACAAUGGGCGGAAGCCUGAUGCAGCAACGCCGCGUGCGGGAUGACGGCCUUCGGGUUGUAAACCGCUUUCGCCUGUGACGAAGCGUGAGUGACGGUAAUGGGUAAAGAAGCACCGGCUAACUACGUG
rnacentral:rRNA from 1 species